rnacentral:tRNA from 1 species
GGGCCCGUUGCCUAGCCCGGCAUUAUACACAAUCCGUGUAAGUUGGAGUUCGUGUGUUCAAAUCACACCGGGCCCGCCA